AUACGGAGGGGGUUAGCGUUGUUCGGAAUUACUGGGCGUAAAGCGCACGUAGGCGGACUGGAAAGUUGGGGGUGAAAUCCCGGGGCUCAACCCCGGAACUGCCUCCAAAACUUCCAAUCUAGAGAUCGAGAGAGGUGAGUGGGAUUCCAAGUGUAGAGGUGAAAUUCGUAGAUAUUUGGAGGAACACCAGUGGCGAAGGCGGCUCACUGGCUCGAUACUGACGCUGAGGUGCGAAAGCGUGGGGAGCAAACAGGAUUAGAAACCCUAGUAGUCC
rnacentral:rRNA from 1 species